rnacentral:rRNA from 1 species
UACGAAGGGAGCUAGCGUUGUUCGGAAUCACUGGGCGUAAAGCGCACGUAGGCGGAUGUGUCAGUCAGGGGUGAAAUCCCGGAGCUCAACUUCGGAACUGCCUUUGAUACAGCACGUCUUGAGUCCGAUAGAGGUGGGUGGAAUUCCUAGUGUAGAGGUGAAAAUUCGUAGAUAUUAGGAAGAACACCGGUGGCGAAGGCG